CGAAAGCCUGACGGAGCAACGCCGCGUGGGGGAGGAAGGCCCUUGGGUUGUAAACCCCUUUUCUCAGGGAAGAAACCUGACGGUACCUGAGGAAAAAGCCUCGGCUAACUCCGUGCCAGCAGCCGCGGUAAUACGGAGGAGGCAAGCGUUAUCCGGAAUUAUUGGGCGUAAAGCGUCCGCAGGGGGCGCAUCAAGUCUGCUGUUAAAGGUCGGAGCUAAACUCCGGUAGAGCAGUGGAAACUGGUGCGCUAGAGGGCGACAGGGGUAGAGGGAAUUCCCAGUGUAGCGGUGAAAUGCGUAGAGAUUGGGAAGAACACCGGUGGCGAAAGCGCUCUACUGGGUCGCACCUGACCCUCAGGGACGAAAGCUAAGGUAGCG
rnacentral:rRNA from 1 species